UUCCAGCUCCAAUAGCGUAUAUUAAAGUUGUUGCGGUUAAAAAGCUCGUAGUCGAAUUUGUGUCCCGCGUCGCCGGUUCAUCGUCCGCGGUGUUAACUGGCGUUCCGCGGGACGUCCUGCCGGUGGGCUUAGCUCGCAAGGGCGGCCCAACUCAAUCCCGCCGCGGUGCUCUUCACUGAGUGUCGAGGUGGGCCGGCACGUUUACUUUGAACAAAUUAGAGUGCUUAAAGCAGGCUAAAACUUCGCCUGAAUACUGUGUGCAUGGAAUAAUGGAAUAGGACCUCGGUUCUAUUUUGUUGGUUUUCGGAACCCCGAGGUAAUGAUUAAUAGGAACGGAUGG
rnacentral:rRNA from 1 species